AUAAUUUCUUCAAAGAAGCAAUUGGCUUUAUCAAAUUAACGGCCUGCAAAUCAAUGAAAAAAUGAACUAAUACUACCUGUUUACAGAGGAAAUCAGCAUGUCACUGGUGUAUGUUAGAUAUGCAUAAGUUUGUGGUCAUUACCUCUCUUAAGAUUCCAUGAAGAUUGAAUGUUCCAUUUUCUAGUUCAAGAAUACCAUCUUCAAGUCUGGAAAGAUCUAGCACAUCAUUAAUCAGUGUUGCCAGAAGAUUGCUACUCUUCAGUAUGGUCUCAAUCAUAACUCUCUGCUCUGGAGUUAAGUCUGUUUCUAAAAGCAGAGAGCACAAAGCAAUAACUGCAUGCAUAGGUGUUCUCAUUUCAUGGUUCAUCACAGCUAAGAAGUCGUUACGAGCGCGGAUGGCCAUCUCUGCUUCUUGACGAGCUACAUCCAAAGCAAUAUUCUGUUCCAUGAGCUGAUCAUGGGCACGCAUGGACUCUUCUAAAAUUGCAGCAUGUGAAAGAGCGACAGCAACCUGAUAACCGAUUGCACUUAAAAUGAGAACUCUAAUUCAAAAAUGAAAUAGACAAGUUCUAAUUUGUGUUCAUGAGAAAAAGAAUAGCAACCUUGUUCUGAUAGGUUUGCUAUCAAGCGAUUGCACUUACUAACAGUGACCAUAUUCUAAUUCAAAAAGAAAGGGACAAAUUAUAAUUUGUGUUCUUGACAAAACAAUAUUUAGCAACCUUGUUCUGUUACGGUAGCUAAUACAUUAACUUUGGAAAGCAAGGGCAAUGAUUGAAGUAUUGAACAUUAAACCAGCAUAAAUUUAACACUCUCUCCAUCCCAAUUUAUGUGGCACUGUUUGACUAGGCAUGAAGUUUAAGAAAGAAAGGAAGACUUUUGAAACUUGUGGCCUGUGAUUAUAAAUCAUCUAACUAAGUGUUAACGAAAAAUUUUAAAGUAAAUUCUUUCUGAAAAUAUACAACGGUGACAUUCUUUUUAGGACGGACUAAAAACUAAAGAGAGCAGCUAUUUCUGCACCUAAACAUCCUUAUCCACACUGCAAUUAAUGCAACCACCAGUGUAGACAAAAUCCCUCGUGAUGAUUACAGAAUGAAAUAAUCGUUCUAGAGUUCCCAAUUUAUGCUCCACUAUUCCUUUUUGUUUCAAAAUAAAUUAAAAAGAGGUAAGAAAAAGAUACGGAAACUCAUCUCCUACCUCACUAAAUCUCUUCGGUUUGUCUUCUUU
rnacentral:lncRNA from 1 species